GUAGCAGGUGGGGGUGCAAAUUGGUGCCCUUUUGGAAACAGGUUUGGAGUGAGCUCCUACAGCGCCUGGGAACCAGCCCCGUGCCUGUGGCCCAGAGAGUGGACGAGUCGACUAUGAAUAUUCGCCCAGUGGAACGUUACACAGCAGGCGAAAUGAACCGCCACAGCUCUGUGUGACACAACGGAGCUUAAUUAACAGCAUGGUCGUGAGAAAGAAGCCCCAGCUGCGUCUGUGCCCAGCCGGGCGGGGCUGCCGCCGCUUCGCUGCAGAGACCGUGGAUGCCCACCUGCCUCCCUGCCUCCCUGCCCCCACUGCAGCCCCAUUGGAGGGAAGCGGCUCCUCUCUUUGGAUAUUUCAGCAGCAGGUAAACAACAAAACAGACCGGCGAAAACGCUGGGGCCAACCUCCUGCAAUGAAAUAAAGUGGG